CCUACGGGAGGCAGCAGUGGGGAAUAUUGGGCAAUGGGCGCAAGCCUGACCCAGCAACGCCGCGUGAAGGAUGAAGGUUUUAGGAUUGUAAACUUCUGUUGCGAGGGACGAAGAAUGACGGUACCUCGUAAGAAAGCACAGGCUAACUACGUGCCAGAAGCCGCGGUAAUACGUAGGGGGCAAGCGUUGUCCGGAAUGACUGGGCGUAAAGGGAGUGUAGGCGGCUCAUCAAGUCAGAGGUGAAAUCCCGCGGCUUAACCGCGGAACUGCAUCUAAAACUGGUAAGCUGGAGUGCAGGAGGGGUGAGUGGAAUGCCUGGUGUAGCGGUGGAAUGCGUAGAUAUUAGGAGGAACACCAGAGGCGAAGGCGACUCACUGGACUGUAACUGACGCUGAGGCUCGAAAGCGUGGGGAGCAAACAGGAUUAGAUACCCCGGUAGUC
rnacentral:rRNA from 1 species